GUGAGAAUGAGAGAAGGCAAAGGUGCUGGGAAUAGAUUUCAGGAUCAAGCCUUGAACAAAAUUUGGAGAAAGAACAUACAACAUAUAGAUCAGAGAUACGGGAAGCUGAGAGAGAUGGGAACCAGGACAAAUUAAGAGGCUUGGCCUUGACUGGAAGAAUAUUCUAUUCAGUGUUACAAGAAGAAACCUCAGUAUGAACACACAUGCAGGAAUUGAAAUACCUGUAUCUAGAACAAGCAGCCUCACCCAGCUAUGAAUGUGGACAGAGCUUCUUGAAUGACAAUUCAGCCCUCUCUGGGGAAGAGGGCAUGUUCUAGAUUGGAGAAACAAAAGGAGCUGUUGAUGGACCUGAAAGUCUUAGGAAGAAGAAUAAAGAUGUUUUAAGGGAAGAGUUUCCCAAAUGCUCAA